rnacentral:rRNA from 1 species
GACGAACGCUGGCGGCGUGCUUAACACAUGCAAGUCGAGCGGUAAGGCCCUUUCGGGGGUACACGAGUGGCGAACGGGUGAGUAACACGUGGGUGACCUGCCUUUAGCUCUGGGAUAAGCCUGGGAAACCGGGUCUAAUACCGGAUAUGACUCCGCGGCGCAUGUUGUGGGGUGGAAAGCCUUGUGCGGCUGGAGAUGGGCCCGCGGCCUAUCAGCUUGUUGGUGGGGUGAUGGCCUACCAAGGCGACGACGGGUAGCCGGCCUGAGAGGGCGACCGGCCACACUGGGACUGAGGCACGGCCCAGACUCCUACGGGAGGCAGCAGUGGGGAAUCUUGCGCAAUGCGCGAAAGCGUGACGCAGCAACGCCGCGUGGGGGAAGAC